rnacentral:rRNA from 1 species
CAGAUGUGAAAGACCCGGGGCGUCAACCUCGGAACUGCAUUUGAAACUGGCAGACUAGAGUACUGUAGAGGGGGGUAGGAAUUUCAGGUGUAGCGGUGAAAUGCGUAGAGAUCUGAAGGAAUACCGGUGGCGAAGGCGGCCCCCUCGGACAGAUACUGACACUCAGAUGCGAAAGCGUGGGGAGCAAACAGGAUUAGAUACCCUGGUAG